CUUCAACAGGGCGGAGCCAGAGGGAGCCGGUCUGCGGAAGGAAGGAGCCACCAGGGCCCAAGCCCAUUUGGUUCAUAGAUUCCAAGUGACAUGGUGGGGAGUUUCUCCUUGACAUUGUCCGGAAGCACGUGGCCAUCUUUCCAAGCAAGAUCCGUUUCAGUGUCCAGGGCUGCACAGGGGUAGUGAUGGGAAGGUCCCCGCCACACGCCAGUGAGAAGAAUCGAGAAGGAAACUUGGGAUGAGCAGUUAAAGCACCCGCUGGAAACCAUCUCCAAUGCACCAGAAUUGAGAAGCACCCGAUGGGAGGUGUCGGAUGAGGAGGGGGCCACCCUCAUGAAUGAAUUAAUGUGGAUUAUGAAGGGCUGUGGCCCCAACUCCAUCCCUUGUCCCCACUCUUGCCAUCUCCCAUCCUCCCACCUUCCACCUUCUUUCGAGAGAUGAUAUAGCAAAAGGCCUUCACCCAAUGCCAGCGCCUUGUACUCCCCAGUCUCCAGAGCUCAGAGAA